GAGCACGUAGGUGGGUUUGUAAGUCAGACGUGAAUGCCUUCUGUUCAACGGAAGAAUUGCAUCUGAAACUACAAACCUUGAGUGUAGGAGGGGAGAAUGGAACUUCUGGUGGAGCGGUGAAAUGCGUAGAUAUCAGAAGGAACGCCGGCGGCGAAAGCGAUUCUCUGGCCUAUUACUGACACUCAGUGUGCGAAAGCUAGGGGAGCAAACGGGAUUAGAUACCCCGGUAGUCCUAGCCGUAAACGAUGGGCACUAAGUAGAGGGAAUUACCGAUGUUCUCUCUGCCGUAGCUAACGCAUUAAGUGCCCCGCCUGGGGAGUACGGCCGCAAGGCUAAAACUCAAAAGAAUUGACGGGGGCUCGCACAAGCGGUGGAGCAUGUGGCUUAAUUCGAUGCAACGCGAAAAACCUUACCGGGGCUUGACAUGGUAGAAGUAGGAACCCGAAAGGGUAACGAACGGUAUCCAGUCCGUGACUAUCACAGGUGUUGCAUGGCUGUCGUCAGCUCGUGUCGUGAGACGUUGGGUUAAGUCCCCUAACGAGCGAAACCCUUGUUUUUAGUUGCCAGCGGGUUGUGCCGGGCACUCUAGAAAGACUGCCGUCGUCAAGACGGAGGAAGGUGGGGAUGACGUCAAGUCAUCAUGGCCCUUAUGCCCCGGGCUGCACACGUGCUACAAUGGCCGGUACAAACGGAAGCGAAGCCGAGAGGUGAAGCGAAUCC
rnacentral:rRNA from 1 species